GUGACUCUUUAAUCAUGAAUAAUAUAAGAAAGAGAGAGAGAGAAACAACACAGUCCAGAUCUGAUCCGUACAGUAAAGAGGAUCAUAUUACCGAUGAGUGGAUAAGAGGAGGGGACAGGGACAGAUAAUAAAUAUACAUAGAUUUUUUGAGAACAUGUGCUGGCUCCCGAUAGACCAGCCUCUGCCUCUACCCGGUGACUCGAUUAUCUGUGCCCAAGGACCCUCACCAUACUCCGGGACCCAGUCGCUCGCCUCCCGCCUACGGAGGAUCGGGGACGAAAUGGAUAAAAACUGGACGGUUGGCUCUCGAGACAACAGAUAUUACGAUAAACUGGAGUUUAAUAGAAAAGUCCACUUUAAACGCUUUGUAUGCACAGCAAUACAAAUCACAGUCCUCAUGCUCUUUAUCAGAAAGCGACACCUGUAGGUGCAAGACACUGCAAUGGCAAAACCAGCAACAGAUGAUCCCGAAGAGGAGAGAAAGCUGUCAGAAUAUUUGCACUGAAAAAAUGGAUGCCAGCCAGUCAGCCUGCCACCAAGCGCCGAGGUCCAGCGUGCACACUGACAUGUCGUCAUGAUGAACAUGCCACACAUGCAGCAAGACUGUUAGGAACAGGGAUUUGGAAAAAUAAGGAAUCUGAUCGAAAUCAAAAGGACAUAUAUUCUUUGUACUUUAUGUUGGCUAAGGAAAAUGUUGUGCUUCUGAAUUCAGGUGACAUAACAUUAUGUCACAGAGAUUGAAUAACAUUUUCAAUUCAAAUAAUACUUUAGGACAUGUGGGUCUAAGAUACAGUACUGCGUGAAUACAUUUCUCAGUGCGCUUUUUCCCCAUUUAUUAAAUAAUUUGACUCAUUGCUUUGAAUUCAUUUGUAUUCAGAUAUGAAUUGACGUAACUUGUAUCAUCACUCUCAAUGUCUGGCGGUUCUUCCGAGUAAGGAACGGUGAUGUCAUUCUCCCCUGACGGUUACCAAAGGAAACACGUACUUAUAUUGCCCACGCAACUGUCAUACGUUGAUGAAUUUACACUUGAAUUGUCGAUGCACUAUAUACGAUGUCAAUUACCUAACUGAAAUAUCCUAUUGGUAUGCAAAAACAUACAUGUAAGAAUGUGUGCAGCCUACUUUAGGCGCAUUGUCUCUUGUGAUGGGCAUUCUUGAAAUGGUGCUCAGUGGAACAAUUGCACUGUACUUGUUAGAUAAGCUUCUGUAAUAAUUAUAGACCAUGUAAAGUCUGGACUCUACCAUCACUACAGAUGAAAAUCAAUUUUGAUACGAUUUUUUCCCCUACCGUUUUUUUGUUUCUAUAGUUGUUUAUUUUUAUUAGGUGAAUAAUGCUGUGGGCUGUAUCAAAUAUUGAUGACUGAAGAGGGGAAUACAUCAACUGUUACAAUUUUUGGAACUUUUGAAAUGGUCUUGGGGGCUCAGCAUUUUGUAGCAGUGUUCAUGCAGAUAAUGUUAAUGAAACCAUGCAAGAAAUCAUGUGCAAAUAUAAGGGCAUGCUAUUUAUGUUUACAGUCAUAAGCUGUUUUUAUAUAUCACAAAAACUGUAGUUUUCAAUUUGCAGCGCUGAAUCUGUGUCUUUUAUAAAGAAUGUGUUCUUUACAUGCUAUUUAAAUAUGUAUUACAUUGUGAAUUCUGUGCUCAAUCUAGAUAAUACAAGUUUGAAAAGUAAAAAUGCAUUCAUACUAUCAUUAUGCAAUGAGUAAUAUCGUGACAACAUAAAAUAUUCAAUAAAUGUUGAACAAUA